AUAUAAACUUGACAGUUGGCAUAAUCAUCCAAAUAAUAUAUAGCGGAAGCAGUGAAAGAGGAAAGGCAAAAAUCUAUCAUACCAUGUUGCACAGUAAUUCUUUAAAAUUAAGAACUGAAGAAGUUACUCAUAUUGACAG
rnacentral:lncRNA from 1 species